GAAAUGCGAUAAGUAAUGUGAAUUGCAGAAUUCAGAGAAUCAUCGAGGCUUUGAACGCACAUUGCGCCCCCUGGUAUUACGGGGGGCAUACCUGUCCGAGCGUCAUUGCUGCCCUCAAGCACGGCUUGUGUGUUGGGCCCCCGUCCCCGGUUCUCCCCGGGGACGGGCCCGAAAGGCAGCGGCGGCACCGCGUCCGAUCCUCGAGCGUAUGGGGCUUUGUCACCCGCUCUGUAGGCCCGGCCGGCGCCAGCCGACACCCCAACUUUAUUUUCUAAGGUUGACCUCGGAUCAGGUAGGGAUACCCGCUCAACUUAA
rnacentral:misc_RNA from 1 species